rnacentral:rRNA from 1 species
CACCUCCUACGGGACGCAGCAGUGGGGAAUAUUGCGCAACGGGGGCAACCCUGACGCAGCAACGCCGCGUGCAGGAAGAAGGUCUUCGGAUUGUAAACUGUUGUCGCAGGGGAAGAAGACAGUGACGGUACCCUGUGAGAAAGUCACGGCUAACUACGUGCCAGCAGCCGCGGUAAUACGUAGGUGACAAGCGUUGUCCGGAUUUACUGGGUGUAAAGGGCGCGUAGGCGGGAUAGCAAUUCAGUCGUGAAAUGCCGAGGCUUAACCUCGGAGCUGC